UGCAGGAUAGCUCAGUUGUUAGAGCAUGAGACUCUUAAUCUCAGGGUUGUGAGUUCAAGCCCCAUGCUGGGCAA
rnacentral:tRNA from 1 species